rnacentral:rRNA from 1 species
AAUAGAUACCCUGGUAGUCCACGCCGUAAACGAUGUCGACUUGGAGGUUGUGCCCUUGAGGCGUGGCUUCCGGAGCUAACGCGUUAAGUCGACCGCCUGGGGAGUACGGCCGCAAGGUUAAAACUCAAGCGAAUUGACGGGGGCCCGCACAAGCGGUGGAGCAUGUGGUUUAAUUCGAUGCAACGCGAAGAACCUUACCUACUCUUGACAUCCAGAGAACUUGGCAGAGAUGCUUUGGUGCCUUCGGGAACUCUGAGACAGGUGCUGCAUGGCUGUCGUCAGCUCGUGUUGUGAAAUGUUGGGUUAAGUCCCGCAACGAGCGCAACCCUUAUCCUUUGUUGCCAGCGGUCCGGCCGGGAACUCAAAGGAGACUGCCAGUGAUAAACUGGAGGAAGGUGGGGAUGACGUCAAGUCAUCAUGGCCCUUACGAGUAGGGCUACACACGUGCUACAAUGGCGCAUACAAAGAGAAGCGACCUCGCGAGAGCAAGCGGACCUCAUAAAGUGCGUCGUAGUCCGGA